rnacentral:snRNA from 1 species
AGCUUUGCACAGUGGCAGUAUUGUAGCCAAUGAGGUUUAUCCAAGGCGCGAUUAUUGCUAAAUGGAAAAAAAUGGAGAGGUAGCUUUACAAUGAGGCUUUCCCUGACCCUAGUACAUAUGCCUUCUGGCCCACCUGGCUUUCCUUACCUACUUUCCUAACUUUAUUUUCCAGGAUAGCACUUAUUAGUAUGUGAAAAAACUAUCUUCUCCCUCACUUCAUAAGGGUAAGAAGUU